rnacentral:rRNA from 1 species
GGUAUCGCCGUUAGUCAUGUGCAAAUAUGGAUGGCUGUUUUAGCCGUCUUUAUUGACUGGUUCAUAAGAGUUAUCAGAUAUCACUUUGAUUAAAUUAGAGUGCUUAAAGCAAGUGUGUUACUUGGAUAUAAAUGCAUGGAAUGAUGGAAUAUGUUGUUAUUCUAUUUGUUGGUUUUUGAAUGAUAAAAUGAUUGAAAGGAACUGUUGGGGGCAUUCGUAUUGUUGUGAGAGAGGUGAAAUUCUUAGACCACAGCAAGACGAACUACUGCGAAAGCAUUUGCCAAGAAUGUUUUCAUUGAUCAAGAACGAAAGUUAGAGGUUCGAAGGCGAUCAGAUACCGCCCUAGUUCUAACCAUAAACUAUGCCAACUAGCAAUUUGCUUUGUAUUUUUUAUGACUAAGUGAGAGGCCACGGGAAACCUAAGUAGGGUUAUGGGGGAAGUAUGGUUGCAAAGCUGAAACUUAAAGGAAUUGACGGAAGGGCACCACCAGGAGUGGAGCCUGCGGCUUAAUUUGACUCAACACGGGAAAACUUACCUGGUCCUGACACUAGAAGGAUUGACAGAUUGAUAGCUCUUUCUUGAUUUGGUGGAUGGUGGUGCAUGGCCGUUCUUAGUUGGUGGAGUGAUUUGUCUGGUUAAUUCCGAUAACGAACGAGACUCUAGCCUAUUAAAUAAUACACGGAAUUUUAUCUUCCGCGGUAUUUCUUAGUGGGAUCAAGCG